rnacentral:lncRNA from 1 species
UUUUAUUCACUAAAUGUAAUAAAGCAAUAAUCCAAGGAACACUGCUGUCUGAAUUCAGAAAAACAGGAUCAGAAAAAAAAAACAUGUAAAUAAACACCAGUAAGCACAUACUAAAUAUUAUCAAAAGCAGUCCUUUUCCAGAACUUUCUCAGGACAGAGCAAUUGAAACGUAAUUGCCUGGCACAUAGUAUAGUAUAUCUGGGAAAGCACAAAAUGAAGGCAGAAGGCCAUAUCCAGAUUUAGGGUAUGCUGAGGACAACGCUCAUCACAGCCUUUUGCCAGAUUGGCUCCUAUAGCUCUGUUCUGACAUCCAACAAAAAAUAAACACGUUUUAUAAAUCGAAUGUAAAUGGUUGUCACAGGAGAUAUGAAAUCACGUCCAAGAACAAUCCAAAGAAUGAAACGCACUUGAGGUAAAAGUCCCUCUUGCCUUUUUUUCCCUAGAGUCUCUCUCACAGCUCCUCAAGGCAUUGAUGCAUCAUUCCUUCAGCCCCAUUCUGACAAAGGGUGAUGGUGUUUGGGGAACAGUGACUCCCAUCUGAGAUUUAGUGCAAGAGAAAUGGUGAUGGCCCUAAAGUUCAUGUUUUAUGGGUGAGUUAGCUCUCAAAAGAGGGAUUCAGAAGCUGGGAGGCCAACUACCAUGGCCUGGAUGAAGAGUCAAAAGGGCAUGUACGUGCUAAUCUUCACUGUGAACUUGGCAUGAUUGAGAAUCAGGGAGACAAACACUGCUGUGUGUCUGUGAUAGCAUUUCCAGAGGAGUUGGAAGCUCUAUGCAUGCGCGUGACACUAACUGGAAUGCUAGGGUCUUAGACAGAAUGAAAAGGAAAAAGCUAGCUAAGCGCCAGCAUCCGUUGCUCUCCACUUCUUCAUACAAAUACAAUGUGACCACUCUGCUUCCUGCUCUUUCCCUGUAAUGAUGAACAGUGCUCUCACAUCUGGAUCUAAAAUAACCUCUACUUUCCGUACACUGAUCUUGAUGGGCAUUUUCUCACAUCAAUGCCACACUGAUAAGAAAAGUCAUUGAUGCCUAGGCCACAUAGGGUGAGUUUAAAGCUGCAGGAGUUAAACUCUAAAUGGGGCACAGGGAGGAAAGAAUAUUUUAGUUCAUCCAAUUCCAGCCUCUCUGGCUGUGUCUGGGUCUGGAAUUCCACAGUGUAAGUCCUGUCUUCAAUUCUGCAUCCUACUACAUUGCACACUACAUUGCACAGUCCUUCUUGACCUCAGUAAUCUUUUUUUUUUUUGGUUUUUCGAGACAGGGUUUCUCUGUAUAGCCCUGGCUGUCCUGGAACUCACUUUGUAGACCAGGCUGGCCUCGAACUCAGAAAUCUGCCUGCCUCUGCCUCCCAAGUGCUGGGAUUAAAGGCGUGUGCCACCACGCCCGGCGACCUCGGUAAUCUUAUCUAUUAAAUACUGCUUAAACUAUUACAGAGAAAUGAUAGCUUCUUGUCCCAUGUUUGACAUGCCACAGAUAUCCAAGAAAUGAUACAGCUAAUUUUUAGUAAUGCUAACAACAAAUGCUAGUGCCAAGUCCAAGUGUACCCAGGCACUUUGCUAGAUACACCCACUUGUAAUACGUAUAUUUUCCAUAAAAGGAAACUGAUACCACUAUUACUAAUCAUUAGGUUACUAACUCAAGAGUCUGUAGUCAAUGACACAGCCAAGAGAUGAAUUAAGACCACACUAAACUUCACACCCUGCUGCUCACACAGGAUGAAUGGUAGUGGGAAAGGAGUCAGCAGUUAGAAGCAUGAGCUUUUAAAGAGGAGGGGAGAAAAGAAAGCCUAAUAUUUUAUUCAAUUCACCUUUAUCAAGAAUGUUCUCUAGGCCAGGCACUGGGCCAGACACCAGAGAAGAAAAGGGACACACAUCCCUGCCACUUUGUCAUCUCUAAGAAUGUUUAACCAGGAAAGAAAAGGGAAGACGUCCCAAUGUUUCACUGAAGCCAGCUCAUGCAGGCUCCCAAAAGCCAAUUAGCAUAUUUUGUGAAAUUAUGCAUGCUGACUGUUAAACAUGGCCAUUAUUGAUAUUAAAUUACACAAACAUAUGAAACUGUAUGAAAAAUAGAGAUACAAACUGCUGAGAACUCGCCACACCCUGAUUAGUCUACAAGGUCGAUACUUUUGAGGAAACAGGCCCUGGAGUGUAUUCGUAAG